AAAUGGCUACAAUAUCGUUAGAAUACGAAGGUAAAUUUCGCAACUGUCAGUAAAGUUGUAAUAGCUUAGGUGGGAAAUCGACCGGUCGCGAUCGAAAAGACCAUGGUUGAAAGCCUCGGUCGAUUAUUAUUUUUUUAUUUUUUUUUAUUUU